AGCAGAAAUCUGGAUGUGGACACCACUGUGGCUGAAGUUCGUGCUCAACCGCAGCCGUGCUGAAGCAGAGAGCUGGUACAAACAGAAGGUCACUUAACUUUCUUGCACUGUGUGUUUGUGUGUGCAUGUCACAAAUCAUACAUUUUUAAACAUGAUUGUUUUCUUCUUAUUAUUUUAUUUUUUUGCUUUUCUAACGAUGCACAAAUGAACAGUAAAUAUGAGUUUAUGUGUAUGGGUCUGUAUGUUCAUGAGUGCUGUAAAAUGUUAGUAUGAAGAAUGCAGAUGACAGUCGGCAAACAUGGGGAUGACCUGAAAACACAAUGUAAUGCGAUCUAAGGAUUGCACGUAUAAAUUCUGAGAUGGAACCUGUCAAGGGACAUGCAUUUAAACCAUGAAGCGCAGAUCAAAGAGGCAGAAGAAUGAGGUGAACUAGCUGUGAAAUAUGCAAAACUGCGUCUGCAGGAGCUGGAAGCAGCUCUUCUGAGAGCUAAACAUGAUAUGGCUCGUCAGGUGCGUGAGUGCCAGUCAUUGAUGAACAUCAAACUGGCUCCGGACAUUGAGAUCGCCACCUAUAGGACUCUCCUGUGAGGAGAAGAGAGCAGCCUUGAACUACGACCUUGAAAGCUGCAACUUUACAAGUGUCUCAUCACAGAGUCCUGGUAAAGAUGUUCAGAAAACAGUCCUCGAGCAGAAAGCUGUGACUGCAAAAGAUGUCAGCUCUGGCAGCAGCACUGCCACCAUCACCAAACGCAAAAAGACCACCAUCGUCACCAGUGAGAAGAAACUCGUGGCUACAGAGGGAAGUGUGCAAGGGAUGGAUAAGUCUGCAGACAAACAAGAGGAGGAUGUGUUUUGAAUGACAGAGGAGUAGAUGGGUGUGUUAUGCACAGGGUCCAGGAUCAGAUUUUUAUAGGUUGGCCUCCACCCCCUCCCCUGGGUUCAGUGAACAUCUAUAGUUUAGUUUCUGUUGCUGAGGUGUGGCAGAUUAAACUGAAUUACAAUUCAUUGCAUUAAAUAUUUAGUAUAUUUCUA